UGAGUGAAUCAGUUAAAGAAGUUUUAUUGCUCAAUAGAAAGACAAGUAUACAAACAGGAAAUAACAAAACUGGGAACUUUAGCACAACACAUCAAAUGCUAAAUCAAUCAUUUUACAAAGGUAAAAUGCUGUUAUGUUGAGUGAAAUCAAUAAUGUCGUGCAGAACCACCACCAUGCUACAGUGUCAGAACACUUUAUAUAAUGGUUUAUAUAAUGUCACAU
rnacentral:lncRNA from 1 species